GAGAGGCAGGCGACCACGGUGGGUUUAGCGACUGGGGUGAAGUCGUAACAAGGUAGCCGUAGGGGAACCUGCGGCUGGAUCACCUCCUUUCUAAGG
rnacentral:rRNA from 1 species